rfam:Capsicum annuum cultivar Zunla-1 chromosome 12, whole genome shotgun sequence
UAUUAAUGGUGUGGACAUUCCCAAAGAAGAACCUUGAAACCCUCACAAGCAUGAUAUAAGUUUUUAUCUGGCUUCUAUUUAAAGCACACAAUCUCACUUCAAUG